rnacentral:rRNA from 1 species
GACGAACGCUGGCGGCGUGCCUAACACAUGCAAGUCGAACGGAGAACAGAAGGAUUGAGGCUUCGGCGGAUUGAGAUCUGUUCUUAGUGGCGGACGGGCGAGUAACGCGUGAGCAACCUGCCCUUCAGAGGGGAACAACAGUUGGAGGCGACUGCUAAUACCGCAUAACGUCAUUUGAGGGCAUCCUCGAAUGACCAAAGAUUUUAUCGCUGAAGGAUGGGCUCGCGUCCGAUUAGAUAGUUGGUGGGGUAACGGCCUACCAAGUCGACGAUCGGUAGCCGAACUGAGAGGUUGAUCGGCCGCAUUGGGACUGAGACACGGCCCAG